rnacentral:lncRNA from 1 species
CCAGUCUCCACCUGCGGACAUGACAACUGCCUGUGUUUGACAAGAGCCACUGCCUCUGGGGCAGGCUGGGGCUUCCUCUUGUGGAUACCAUCAGGUUGAGGCCCUGCGCACCUGGCUUGGGCCUCUGACAGCGGCUUCCUGCAGUACACUGGGGCUCCUCUGCUCCUCCCUGACCCUCCACGGCCUCCCCUAAGUGGGAGUCCAGGAGGCCCACCCUUCCUGAGCAUCAGGAGGGCGCCCACCAGUGGCACCACAGGUGCGGGCUACAAUAGCAAAGGCAUUACUGUGUGCAGAAGAACCCCACCCCCAGCAUCAACGCUAGUAUUGGCAGGUGGGUGUCCUGGAGGCCUGUCCCUCCCCAGGAAAGGGACCCAGAACUUAGAAGUCAGCUUGCCCUCCUUCUCCUGAGGGCUGGUAACAGAGCCAGGAGCAAGAACCUUUAAUCCAGAGCGUUUGCUCUGGAGCCUGGUGCCCCUCCACUAGCCCAGCAGCUGACUGACUGGCUUCCAUUUUCUCCUGGGCCUAAGUGGUUGCCUUCCUGCUGGGGAGGGGCACUCCUUCUUUCGUGCCCCUGGGGUACUGAUGGGGAACUGAACACCCAGAAAGAGAGUGGCUGGGGAGUGACAUGGUCCCAGGGAGAGGGUGGCUC